CUUAAAGGCGUACGCGCCCGGCGGGGCGCGCUGGAGCUUCGGUGGGGGCCGUCGGUUCUCCGCCCCGCCUCGCCUCGCCCCGCCUCCUGCUCCCGCCCUGGGAAGGCGGCCGGGGCUUUCCCCCAGGCGGGUGCGUUGCCUGGUCAGUGGGGCCCUCCCUUGGGGGGCGGUGAGGUCUGCCUGUCCAAAGGAGAGGAAUGUGGUGACUCAGCUAAAGCUGUGCAGAGACCUGGAACAUGGGUCUGACUGUUGCUAGUAUCAGUCUUUCUCUUCACUCUAAAAGAGUAACGGCAUGUAUGAAUUGGUGAGAAGAAAUAUGAAGUCUCAAAGCAAUUGAAAAAACAGGUAAUUCAGAAACAAAAGAAAUUGCAUUUUGCUUAUGACCUUGUAUUUCAUAUUUAUAUUCAACAUGUUAACCCAUCUUAUAUACUUCAGCUUUGUAUCUUCAUUAACAGCCAUAUCUUCCGGAGAAGUCAGUGUGACUACAAACCUGUAUAACUAAAUUUUGCCUGUAGUCUAAAUAUAGCAUAUAUUGAGAAUAUACUCAGCAAAGCAUUGCAGCUAUCAGUGGAAAUGACCAUUUCAUCUCUCACUGGAAAUAAUGAACACCAGAAACAAAAUCUCAGUGGUUGAAGUUUUUCUACAUUUUAACUUACUUUGUUUCUGAAUCUUAAAUGAAAAGCAAAAUGCCUUUUAGCAAAAAGGAUAAAAUAAAUGCUCAGAAUGAGUAAGAAAUAAUUUGUUGGUAUGGAUAUACCUUUAUGGCAGAAAUGAAGCCAUGUUGUAGCCUAAUCUAGGUAGUAUAUUAAGAAGAGAAAUGACAAUGUAGUAACACAUGCCUUAGAGUUUGAACUCCAGUUACCAGUUCACACAAAAGUAAUGCUUUCACUUUUAUUCACGUUAGCGAAUUUAAGCUAUGCAGGCAUGUGAACACAAGUUAUAAUAAAACCUGCAUUUUGCUAUGUAGCAUAUCCUUAGGGGCUCUUUUUUCUUUAAAUCAUGUCCUAAAGCCCUACUGACUAAAGUGUGCUUAAAUGCUUUGCUGCAUAUUCGUGAUGAAUUAAAGUAUGUAACUAAUGAUAAGGCACACAUAUCAACAUACAGCUGAAACAGGAUUAAAAAGCAGUAUCAGAGUAUAAGACUCUGGAAGCAAAAUCUGAGGUAUAGAUAUCAGUGCCUCAAGAAAUCAUAACAAGCCUUGAACACUAUCAGUCCAGAAGGAGAAUCCUAUGUCAAGUCAGACAUAUUUACCAAAAGGACUGUGGUUCAGCCAUUUUUUGAAGACAAGGAAUAGGGAAAAGGUUAUAUCAACUGCAGAUAAUUUUAAAGGAUUCCCAUGUUGUUUAAAAGCCAGAAAUAUGGGCCAAUGUACUAAUUCUUGAGGAAAAAAAUAAAUGUAGUAAGUAAGGAGAUACUGUGAAUUGAAACCCACAAGCUAAUUAGGAAGUCUUAGAAACAAAUUGUAUCUCUCCAAAGGAUUUGUUUCAAUUGUAACUGUUCCUGAGGCAUUUUGUGAUGUUUCUGUAGUUACAGUUCUAUACAUCUGAGAUAAUAAAAGUUUGAAGCAAUGAUACACCAAAAGAAUCCAGAUAAAUCAACUUCAUGCUCCCCCACUAGGACAGCAGAUGUAUUUUUAAACUGGGAAGUUAAGAAAAUAGUGCUACACUGGAAAAUAUGUCUGGAAGCAGGAAAGCAAAUGUGCAUAACUGAAAGUGUUGUUUCUUUUUCAGCUCCACUAAUCUCUCUGUACUGGGGCUAUUAAGUACAUAACUUGUGUUUUUAAAUCACUCAUCUGUCUCCUUGGUUUCCAAAAGCAACUCACAUACACAAAUCUGAAUGGCAUCUGUACCGUAGGAAUAACAUGAACUGAAGGUAAUCCAAAUGUUUUUGAAACACCAUGCCUUCUAGGUUUAGGAGCUUCCACUUAAAUAUCUGUAUAACUACCUCCACCUUUGCAUGAACUGCUCAUGGAAGGUUAACACAUGUGGAAUAUAACACUGGAGGUAUUCAGAACCAGUUAUAUUGCUUUCUCCAUAAAGCAGUUUGGUUGACUGAUGGCUACUCUACAAAUGCUGUAAUUCAUACAAAAUGGUUUCAGUACUCAGCCCACUUAUGCGGGAAAGGUAGGAUAGUUUAUGUUGAAACAAGUUUACAUAUUGUCUUUUCUAAGGUUAUGAUGAGUGACUAAGGUUGAAUGUAGCAGGCUGUUAAACAUACCACUUUAUAAAACUUUAUUCAACAGCU